UACGGAGGGUGCAAGCGUUGUUCGGAAUCAUUGGGCGUAAAGCGCGUGUAGGCGGCUUGGUAAGUCGGGUGUGAAAUCCCGGGGCCCAACCCCGGAACUGCAUUCGAAACUGCCUGGCUAGAGUCCCGGAGAGGAAGGCGGAAUUCCCGGUGUAGAGGUGAAAUUCGUAGAUAUCGGGAGGAACACCAGCGGCGAAGGCGGCCUUCUGGACGGUGACUGACGCUGAGACGCGAAAGCGUGGGGAGCAAACAGG
rnacentral:rRNA from 1 species